AACCUCAAUCCCCGAUGGUUUUCUGAACCGUCGGUGGACUUGGAACUGGGCGUCUGCCUCCCAAGGCUCGCCUCAAAUGACUUAGUGGGAACUUCUUGACCUACGCCUGACGUGAUAAGUUUCGUCUCGGCCGGUCUCGAGGCCCGCUCACAACCACCCACAUCUUUCAA
rnacentral:misc_RNA from 1 species